GUGGGUGAAUGCUGUAUGAUCCAAUUAGUCCCUUAGGAAAGACCAGGACCCCAUUCUACGGCCUGGCACGGUAUGAAAGACCAGGACCCCAUUCUACGGCCUAGCACGGUAUGGAACGCGAAGACCAGGUGCCCAGAUGAGGCCCUGGGGCAAUGGUAAGUAAUGUUAUGAUAUGACAGGAAGACCAGGACCCCAUUCUACAGCCUGGCACGGAUAUGAUGCUGGGACUAUUUGGUGACAGGUUUACCCUUGAUGUGAUUUGUCUGUGAUAUGA
rnacentral:lncRNA from 1 species